GGAAAGUAAAGUGGAUUAAAAUAACAAAAAGCCCCACGAGCUGAACUCUCUGGGGAGGAGAGGGGGCGCUAUUUGGAUCUGGUGAUGGGAGCAAGGAGGAAGGAGAGAGAAAAAUGAAGAAAAGCGCAUCACCAGAGUGCAAGGAGGAAGGAGAGAAGAAAAAGAAAGAAAAGAAAAAAGAAGAGCCAAUCACCAGAGAGCAACAAGGAAGGAGAGAAAAACAAAUAAAACAAAAAGUCCACUGGAAAGGACGUUGGGUGCAGAAAGAAAUAAGAGAAAAAAAAUAAAAGAAAGAAAGUGACG
rnacentral:lncRNA from 1 species